UACGAGGGGGGCAAGCGUUGUUCGGAAUUAUUGGGCGUAAAGGGUGCGUAGGCGGUGCGGUAAGUCUGUUGUGAAAUCUCCGGGCUCAACUCGGAGUCUGCAUCAGAAACUGCCGUGCUGGAGUGUGGGAGAGGUGAGUGGAAUUCCCGGUGUAGCGGUGAAAUGCGUAGAGAUCGGGAGGAACACCUGCGGCGAAAGCGGCUCACUGGACCAUAACUGACGCUGAUGCACGAAAGCUAGGGGAGCAAACAGG
rnacentral:rRNA from 1 species